CAGCAGUGGCUCCCGCUUCUCAUCCUACACCUGGUCACUACCAUGUCCUGUACCGCGGGUGUGGAGAAACGCAGUUGGGCUGGCAUGGGGAGACAUACUGCCUGGUUGGUGGCUACCGGCUCUACGGGGAUGUUCCUUUGGCCACGCCAGCUAAGGUAGAAGCAGAGAAGCCAGUCCCCAGACGUGCUCCGAAGAGAAAGCGCUCUCUGGAAUGGUCGGACGAAGACCUGGGUUGCCCCAGACCCAAAAUCCGGCGAUUGGAGCUUUCAAGCAGCACAGGAAUACAAGAUGCUCCUUUGGCCACACCAGCCAAGGUGGAAGCAGAGAAGCCAGUCCCCAGACGUGCUCCGAAGAGAAAGCACUCUCCGGAAAUGCCGGAGGAAGACCUGGGUUGCUCCAGACCCAAAAUCCGGCAAUUGUAGCAUGGUGGCAGGAGGCGGACCCCACAGAAUCUUGCAGGGGCCCCUUUGUGAGCUGAAGAAAGAAAAGUCUAGAAAAAACGGAUACCUGGGAGGGGAAGAUGGCGGAAGAGUAAGACGCGGAGAUCACCUUCCUCCCCACAGAUACACCAGAAAUACAUCUACCCGUGGAACAACUCCUACAGAACACCUACUGAACGCUGGCAGAAGACCUCAGACCUCCCAAAAGGCAAGAAACUCCCCACAUACCUGGGUAGGGCCAAAGAAAAAAAGAAAACACAGAGACAAAAGAAGAGGGACGGGACCUGCACCAGUGGGAGGGAGCUGUGAAGGAGGAAAGGAUUCCACACACUAGGAAGCCCCUUCGCGGGAGGAGAGUGCGCGUGGCGGAGGGGGGAAGCUUUGGAGCCGCGGAGGAGAGCACAGCCACAGGGGUGCGGAGGGCAAAGCGGAGAGAUUCCCGCACAGAGGAUAGGUGCCAACUGGCACUCACCAGCCCGAGAGGUUUGUCUGCUCAGCCGCGGGGGUGGGCGGGGCUUUAGUCGGAGCGCAGGGAGAGGACCGGGGUUGGUGGUGUGAACAUAGCCUGAAGGGCUUAGUGCACCACGGCUAGCCGGGAGGGAGUCCGGGAAAAGAUCUGGAGCUGCCGAAGAGGCAAGAGACAUUUUCUUCCCUCUUUGUUUCCUGCUGCGCGAGGAGAGGGGAUUAAGAGCGCUGCUUAAAGGAGCUCCAGAGACGGGCGCGAGCCGUGGCUAAAAGCGCGGACCCCAGAGACGGGCAUGAGACGCUAAGGCUGCUGCUGCCGCCACCAAGAAGGCGAGCACAGGUCACUAUCCACACCCCGCUUCCGGGGAGCCUGUGCAGCCCGCCACUGCCAGGUUCCCGGGAUCCAGGGACAACUUCCCCGGGAGAACGCACGGUGAGCCUCCGGCUGGUGCAAAGUCACGCCGGCCUGUGGCGCCGCAGGCUCGCCCCGCACUCCGUGCCCCUCCCUCCCGCCGGCCUGAGUGAGCCAGAGCCCCCGAAUCAGCGGCUCCUUUAACCCCCGUCUUGUCUGACUGAAAAACAGACGCCCUCCAGCGACCUACACGCAGAGGCGGGGCCAAAUCCAAAGCUGAGCCCCUGGGAGCUGUGCAAACAAAGAACAGAAAGGGAAAUCUCUCCCAGCAGCCUCAGAAGCAGCGGAUUAAAGCUCCACAAUCAACUUGAUGUACCCUGCAUCUGUGGAAUACAUGAAUAGACAACGAAUCAUCCCAAAUUGAGGAGGUGGACUUUGAGAGCAAGAUUUAUCAUUUUUUCCCCUUUACCUCUUUUUCUGAGUGUGUAUGUGUACGCUUCUCUGUGAGAUUUUGCCUGUAUAGCUUUGCUCCCACCAUUUGUCCUAGGGUUCUGUCUGUUGUUUUAAAAAUUUUUUUCUUAAUAAUUAUUUUUAUUUUAAUAACUAUUUUAUAUUACUUUAUCUUUUCUUUCUUUCUUUCUUUCUUUCUUUCUUUCUUUCUUUCUUUCUUUCCUUCCUUCCUUCCUUUCUUUCUUCUUUCCUUCCCUCAUUUAGACAAAGAAUCAUCCCAAAUUGAGGAGGUGGACUUUGAGAGCAAGAUUUAUGAUUUUUUCCCCUAUUCCUCUUUUUGUGAGUUUGUAAGGGUAUGCUUCUGUAUGAGAUUUUGUCUGUAUAGCUUUGCUUCCACCAUUUAUCCAAAGGUUCUAUCCGUUCGUUUUUUUUUCUUAAUAAGUAAUUUUUAAUUUAAUAACUUUAUUCUAUUUUACUUUAUUUUAUUUUACUUUAUCUUCUUUCUUUCUUUCCUUUUUCCUUCCUUCCCUCCUCCCUUCCUUCCUUCCUUCUUCCCACCGUCCCUCCCUCCCUCCGUCCUUUCUUUCUUUCUUUCUUACCUUCUUUCCUUCUUUUCUUCUUUCUUUCCUCCUUCCUUCCUUCCUUAAAUUAAAUUCAAUAUAGAUAUUUAAAUUUAAGGUAAAACUAAAUUAUAAUUUGAAAUUAUAUGUGGAGUUUUAUUUCCUAAAGAAUAUAUUGGAAAUUUCAACUCCUAUUUUAACUUAUAUUUUCAGAGAAGGUAUUCGGUCCAAAUGAAGAAUAUCUUCAAUGAUUGUUCUUCUAUUGCAAGCAAAAAAGGAUUUAUACUUCUUUUCAUGAAAUAUGGUUGUUUGACAACAGAAGGAUAAAUAUUUUAUAUUUUUAGAAACAACAGUCAGGCUACUGAUAUUCUUAAUGAGUUUUAAUAAAUCUGAAUGCUUCUUAUCAUCUACUCUUUAGCUGGUACCUGAGGAGUUGUAUACCUCUGGGAAGAUAUGUGCUCCAGACCCGUAAAUAUGCAGUUCACAGAGCCCACCACCGGAGGACAAUAAUGAAGUAAAAUCUUGAAACCAUGUAGUGAAAAUAGUGGGAGUUUAAAUAAAAGCAACAUUUCACAGUAUGCUUUUCUGACCAAUGUUAUAUCUAAUAACCUAAUGGAUUAUAUGUACAUGGAUUCUGAAAAGUCAGCAGCACACUUCGCUGGUCAGUUUCUAUGAUAAGGGGAACGGAAUUUGAGUGUAGAAAAACAGUAUACUUACAUCUUAAAAUUCCACCCCUACAGAAUCUACUCACUAUUGAAAACUGGUAAGAAUAAUAGCUUUCUGUGUCUCAGUGACCAGUUAACAUUUUCAAGAGUAGGAUUUAUCUUCCUAUGAUGCUCAAAUACACAGGAAAAAUGCAUAGCUAGGACAAUGGAUAAACUCUAUAUGACAGUAGAAAAUAGUUAUUCAAAUGGAAAAAGUAUAAGAUCUACAAGGCACAGUCUUGUAUGCAUUAGUGUGGAUAUAUACAUAAAGAAGCUCUAAGAAACAUAAAAAUCACUUCCAGGAAGUAAUUUUAGGUAGAGGAGAAUUAACAUGGAUGAGGAAGAAAAGAGAGUUGGUUUUAAAAUAGUUUCAUUUACUUGUUUUUUUGUUUGUUUAUUUAUUUGUUUUAUUUAUUUGGUCUUUGGAAUAUAAGAAAACAGUGGCUUUCAGAUCAGUAUCCCAGUGGAACAAAGGGACCGAGGUCUAUCCUGGAGCCCGGCCACUGUUUGACUAUCUUGUGAUAAUACUGGUGAAAUGCAACCAAAUCAUUUGAACUAUAAGCAUCCUCUCUGACAAUAAACUUAAGACACCAACAUUAUAUAUGAAAGAAAGUAAAGAGAGAAUACUGUUUUCUUUAGAGAGAAAAUACAGAUCCUGGACCAAAUCAAUAAUGUCAGCAAACCUCAUGGGUAUAAAAUAUUCUGCUGCCUAUCAUUUAGAACAUGCCUCUAGAAGAGGGAAACUGGGCGAUAAUUUCCCCAGAUUUUAUAUUUAAUUCAAAUAUUUUAGAUAAGAGGCAUCUCUAGUAAAACAUUGUAUUAUUGAUUCUUUCCAAUAUGAUAGCUCACAGGAGUUCCUCUUUCCUUCUCAAAUACAUAUGGGGAAAUGGAGGUGGGUGUGGGUUAGAGGAAGUAUCUAACUAGAGCAUAAUAAUCAACAGUUUGUUUUUUAAAAAUAGAAAUUUCUAUUCAAAUUGUUUCCAGAGACAGAAACACACAGAGACAAUUCCAUGCGACAACAGUGAAAGAGACCAGAGUGAUGCAGCUGCAAAUCAAAAAACUGCCAACACCAGUGAUUGAUGGCCACCACCAGAAUCUGGUUAAGACAAAGAGGGAUCCUCCCCUUGAGGCGUCAGAAAGAACAUGGUCCUCUCAACACUUUGAGUUUGAACUUCUGGCCUCUAGAGCUGUGAUAAGAUAAAUUUCUGUUCUUUUAAGCUAACAAGUUUGUGGUAUCUUGUUAUGGUAGCCCUAGAGAUGACAGUAUUUGAUUCCUGAGCUGGCGACUGUAUUUUGAUUCUGUAAUGACUAUUCCAAGAUAAUCAACAGACACAAAGAUAAAGGCAAAACUGAGACUAAGCCCAGUUCUUUUUAUUCCCAGAAUAAUAAAUGAUGUUUUAAUUAAUUUAGAUCUCUUUGUCUAACCCCUCUGCUUUUCAGAAGAGUAUGUGGGACCAAUCAAGUAUUAAUAUGUUAUACUUUCAUUUUAAUUCAUCUCAAAUUAUUUCUAAUUCCCCUUAUGAGUUCUUACUUGACCCAUGAAUUAUUUAGGAAUAUAUUCUUUAAUUUCCAUUUGUGAUUUUCAACAAAUUUCUUUCUGUUAACGAUUUCUUAUUGCAUUCUGUUGUCAUCUGAGAGCACUCUUCGUAUUGUUUAUAUCCUUUAAAAUGUACUGAAAUUUGUUUUAUGCUCUAGCAUAUAGUAUAUCCAUGUGCAUUUGAAAAGAAUGUAUAUUCUGAUGCUGUUGGGUGGAAUGUUUUAUAGAUGGCUGUUAGGUCUACUUGAUCGAUAAUGCUGUUCAAGGUUUUUAUUUUCUUGUUGAUUUUCUGUCUGUUCUGCUAUUGAAAGAAGGGUAUUAAAGUAUACAACUAUUAUUGUAGAACUGUCUGUUUCUCUUUUCUGUUGUGUCGAUUUUGCUUCAUUGUAUUUUGAAGUCCUGUUGUUACGUGCAUAUAAGUUUAUAAUUAUUAUGCAUUCUAGAUGGAAUUAUCAUUUUCAAAUAUCUUUGUCUCUAGUAAAAAUUUUCGUCUUAAAAUGUAA
ensembl:lncRNA